GAGCUGGGUUCAGAACGUCGUGAGACAGUUCGGUCCAUAUCCGGUGUAGGCGUUAGAAUAUUGAGAGGAGCCUUCUUUAGUACGAGAGGACCGAGAAGGACAUACCUCUGGUGUACCAGUUAUCGUGCCAACGGUAAACGCUGGGUAGCUAUGUAUGGAGUGGAUAACCGCUGAAAGCAUCUAAGUGGGAAGCCCACCUCAAGAUGAGUAUUCUCAUCACGUAAGUGAGUAAGGUCACGGUAAGACUAACCGUUUGAUAGGCAUUAAGUGUAAGUAUAGUAAUAUAUGUGCUGAGAUGUCCUAACAGACCGAGGACUUG
rnacentral:rRNA from 14 species